GAUGAAGAACGUAGCGAAAUGCGAUAAGUAAUGUGAAUUGCAGAAUUCAGUGAAUCAUCGAAUCUUUGAACGCACCUUGCGCCCUUUGGCCAUUCCGAAGGGCAUGCCUGUUUGAGUAUCAUGAACACCUCAACUCUUCAUGGUUUUCCAUGAUGAGCUUGGACUAUGGGGGUCUUGCUGGCCUGUGGGUCGGCUCCUCUCAAAUGAAUCAGCUUGCCGGUUUUUGGUGGGCAUCACAGGUGUGAUAACUAUCUACGCUUGUGGUUUUCCACCAGGGUAACCUUCAGCAGUGGAGGUUCACUGGAGCUUACAAAUGUCUCUCCUCUGUGAGGACAGCCCUUUGAAUGUUUGAUCUCAAAUCAGGUAGGACUACCCGCUGAACUUAAGCAUAUCAAUAAGCGGAGGA
rnacentral:misc_RNA from 1 species